CCUUCCCUUAUAUAACACCAGAGAAUUCACAUGGGAGAGAAACCCUAUAGGUGUAAUGAAUGUGGGAAAUACUUCA